rnacentral:piRNA from 1 species
UCAAGACAAUCCGGAUAGCCAGUGUAAC